AAGUCGUAACAAGGUUUCCGUAGGUGAACCUGCGGAAGGAUCAUUACAGAGAACCUGCCCCCUGGGUAGAAUCUCCCACCCUUUGUUUACAUUACCUUUGUUGCUUUGGCGGGCCCGCCUCACGGCCACCGGCCCCGGCUGGUCCGCGCCCGCCAGAGGACCCCAAACCCUGAAUUAAUGUCGUCUGAGUACUAUAUAAUAGUUAAAACUUUCAACAACGGAUCUCUUGGUUCUG
rnacentral:misc_RNA from 1 species